UUGGAAUUCCGGCGGUGGUUUCCGGUCAAGCUCGGUUCAGGAGGAGGUGAACCCGAUGCCAAACCAUGAAGCUUAGAAGAAAAUGGUAGACUUGUGAAGGUGUAAACCAAGAGUUUUGCCAUGAAUUUGUUCUUUGAAUCUUAGACCAUAGGAAAUCUCAAAUUAUGCUUCUUGUAGGAUAAGAAACUUUGUAAUUUGGUAUAGGAACCUUGAAUCCCUCUUGUAUUUUUGAAGCUUUAACUUGAAGAAAAUUGGAUUCUUUGAAUGGAAUGAGGAAUCUUGUUUUGAA